GGAGGUUUCAGCUCAGUGGUAGAGCACGUGCUUAGCAUGCACAAGGUCCUGGGUUCAAUCUCUAGUCCCUCCA
rfam:Camelus ferus unplaced genomic scaffold scaffold451, whole genome shotgun sequence.